ACGUGCCUACGGGGGGCAGCAGUGGGGAAUAUUGCGCAAUGGGGGAAACCCUGAUGCAGCGACGCCGCGUGAAGGAAGAAGUAUUUCGGUAUGUAAACUUCUAUCAGCAGGGAAGAAAAUGACGGUACCUAACUAAGAAGCCCCGGCUAACUACGUGCCAGCAGCCGCGGUAAUACGUAGGGGGCAAGCGUUAUCCGGAUUUACUGGGUGUAAAGGGAGCGUAGGCGGUGCAGCAAGUCAGAAGUGAAAGCCCGGGGCUCAACUCCGGGACUGCUUUUGAAACUGUUGAACUAGAUUGCAGGAGG
rnacentral:rRNA from 1 species